rnacentral:misc_RNA from 1 species
GAUGAAGAACGCAGCGAACUGCGAUAAGUAAUGUGAAUUGCAGAAUUCAGUGAAUCAUCGAGUCUUUGAACGCACAUUGCGCCCCCUGGCAUUCCGGGGGGCAUUCCUGUCCGAGCGUCAUUGCUGCCCUUCAAGCCCGGCUUGUGUGUUGGGUCGUCGUCCCCCCCGGGGGACGGGCCCGAAAGGCAGCGGCGGCACCGCGUCCGGUCCUCGAGCGUAUGGGGCUUUGUCACCCGCUCGAUUAGGGCCGGCCGGGCGCCAGCCGGCGUCUCCAACCUUCUAUUUUACCAGGUUGACCUCGGAUCAGGUAGGGAUACCCGCUGAACUUAAGCAUAUCAAUAAGCGGAGGA